CCCAAAUAAUAUGACGAGUCAGAACCUCGUUAUAACGGGAAAGUGAACGGCGCUGCUAGCUGCUAGCGGUCAGCGACAAAAAAAAGAAUAAAACACGCACAAGACGCUAGACGUUGACUAACGCAUUCGGUGGAUCCCAUUUCAAAAUAAUUCUUUGAGUUCCUUGUGUUUUGGGGAUCGGGUGAGAGUUUGGCAGCCGACUGUCCCUGGCUUCCCGACGACAGUAAAGAUGCCGGGAUAUUGUCACCCCGUUUCCCCUUUCCAGUCACCUCUCAGAGUGCCCACCUAACAAAAACCAAACUUGCCCAUUCCAUUGUUCCCUCGCCAUCUCUAAGACUCAGUGCUACAUUAGCCACUUAAGACAUCGAUUAGAGAUCAAGUGCAUCAUAGAGGAAUGUAUAGUCAUUUGUUCCAUUCCUUUAAGAAAUCUUCAAAAAGCUGCCGUCUGUCAGCUACUAAGCAGGCUGCCGUGGCUUCCUGUUUAAAAUCAAAUAACGUAUCAAGAAAUCGUAACGGCCAUUACACAUGCCGUGAUAUGAUGUGUCUAGCCGACUUCUAGCGGAUUAUCUCCUCAGAUCCCAUCCAGAGAUCAUCUCUGUGCACGAAUUAAAUGCUGGUUCACAGCACACCCUGCUGGACACUUCCCCACAUCUUAUGGCAGCCUCUUCCACGGUAAUAACAACAGAGGUCCAAAGCAGAGGAGAAUUCCGUAAUACUUUUCAAGGAUAGAAAUUAAAUUAACGAACAUAAGACAUAUAAAUACAUGUAUAUAAAACAAAAAUCGAACUCCUCUGAAAACAAAAUACUGCGAUUUGAAACUGUCACUGUGCGGAAUGGUGUUGGUCACAUUACUGCCACAUGACAUUGAACUAUUCGACUUCAAACUAAACAACAGAAACAGAAACAAGACCAUCUAGUGGGCAGGUUAGGCACUGCAAUGACGACGACCGCGUAGUUUGCGCAGGAAGGCGAAAGCUCAGCACUCGAUCUGUGACUGCAGCUGCCUGCGCAGCGUGAGGGUGCGGCGGUGCAGCUGCUGCAUCUGCUGCAUGCGGUCCCGCUGUCGGGCCAGGUUCUGAGGCAUGGGGUAUCGCUGGCAGCCGUACAGGAAGCGGUACGGGAUGCGAACGUGGCAGGCGGUGGCCCGGCACCGCGGCUGCGGCAUUGGCGGGAGCAGAGUCCAGCGCUUCCUCUCUGCGCAGUAGCGAUAGGCCUCCUUGCGGUACUGCUUGUCCACGUCGUCGCUGUUCUUCCAGCCCCCGAUGAUGAAGACAUCCUCUCCGAAGUGGCAGAUGGCGGCCCCCUCGAUGCUGGUGACCUCGGGCGGCAAGCUUUCUAGUAUCUCGUCGGAGGCGCGGGUGCCGACCUUCUGCCGGGCCACCUCGUCUCGCACCGCGUAGCUCUUGGGGCAGCAGGAGGCGGUGUGGUAGAAGUUGGUGGCCGCCACAGCCAUCUGAAAGAUGCAGUAGUUGUCGAUGAGGGGCAAGGACUCCAUGUCUUGCCACUGCCUGCUUUCGGUAUCGUAGCGCGUGGUGAUGGUCUUCAGCCCGUCGUCACUGUCCGUGUCUACGGGCGUGCGGGCCGUCACGUACACGUAGCGGUCCUCUACGCUCACCGCCUUCACGUCCCGCAGGAUCUUGGGCGCCGACUCCAGGUUGUGCCACUUAUCCUGCUCGGGCUCGUAGACGCUCACGUCCUUGAAGCCGGGACUGAAGUUGCCGUGGCCCCCGAUGCUGUAGAGGACGUCUUUGAUGCAGGUGAGCCCGAACGAGUGUUUGCGAGUGGUCAGGUUGCUGACCUGCUCCCAGGUGUUGCGAUUGGGGUUGUAGCGCUCCAUGGUCUUGGCGAAGCCGGGCUCCAUAGAGCCCGCCACGUAGACGUGCGACUCGGUGGUAGCGAUGGCGUGGCCGUCCAGAUGGUUGUGGAUGUGAGGCAGGUUGACCCAGCGGUCCUCGUGGAUGAAGUAACCGACACACUCGCUCAGGUAGUCUCCCCCCUCCGAGACCCCACCCACCACCAUGAUCACGUCCAUGUUCUGGCCGAAGCGCGGCUGGAAGGAGGCCAUGUAGGAGGACCAGAAUUCCAGAUCGGCCGACUUAUGGCUCUCAAAACGGAGGGCGUGACCCUCCACCGCCUCCGAGACGAGCCGGCGGCAGGCCUCCCGAUCGGCCACCAGCCGCUCCGACUUGACCACCCGCGUCAGGUAGGUGGGCUUGAUCUGAGGCAGCCGCAAAAGGCGGAAGAGCUCCUCAAAGUGCUUCUCUCGCUCGGCCAGGUUUCUCUGCACCCACUUGACGAUGGCCUCGAAGAGAACCUCCUCUGAGUCCACGGUGAUCUCAGCGUCCGACAGCCAGUCGCGCACCAGGUGGAAGGGCAGUGUGUAAAACUCCUCGUCCUGGAUGACCUUGUGGAAGUUUCGCCGGAUCAUGUCAGCAGCACGCAGCGCCAGCUGGUCCAGUGAGUACAUGUGGGCCAGGCUGUGCACAGCCACGCAGUUGGUCAGAUUCAGCUUCUUUUUCAGGAAUUCGCCACAGAAGUCUUUCAGCUGGCCCAGUAAGAACCUGGACCAUAAGAGCAGAACAUACUAUCAACAACAAAUGUCUAAGAAAACUUGACUUACAUAGACAAGCACUCUGUAAAUGCAUUUUCCUUUAUGGAUGCUGUUUUACUAUUAAAUUAAAUUAAUGCCUUGGAUAUUUUUUCCAUUAAAUAAAAUAUUUAAUAACAUUCGAUUAAUAGGAUUCAUGCGCAUUUUCUUCGACUAAAGUAGUUUGUCGCAAAACUGUAAACUAUAUCCUGUUUUUUGGAGACGAAAGAAAAUAUGUAUUGAAAAAGCACAGGAAAAGUGACCCUUAUUUCUUUCAAAAACAAACCAGUUUUAAUUGCAGCUGGCUACCAGCAUAGGGAGGUCAUGGCAGAAUUUCAGGACUGACAAGUUUUUCGCCAGGGAUACAAACGCGUUUGGUCACUCAUCUGCUACAAAGAGACAGGAAACACUGAACUAAACACACGCAAAGGGAACCCCGUAAAGAGGGUUACUGCAUACCUUUACAGACCUCCUUCCCCACCGGAAAAAUAUUCCAUUCUGCAAGCUUCAAAAAUCUAAAUAUUACUACUGCCAAGAGGUCGGCAGUAUGUGGCCAGCCACAGCCACAGAUGGUUGCCCCUCACCUGUCAGCCAGCUCCAGAACUUCGUGGACGUUGCAAGUGCUGACCCGUAUUUCCCCGGUAUACAUGUACUGGAUGACGAUUUCCACGGUCUCCGGGUCGGGCCCCAUUUCGGAACUCCACUCCUUCAUCUCCACGCGUCGGGACAGCGACUCGGAAUACUGCCCUCCGAGCAGCGGGGUGAAGUAGUCGGUGGCCGCCGCCAGCACGGAGCGGUGGGCGGAGAACUCGCAGCUCCUCACGCCACCGGCGGCCCCGCCGCUGCUGAAGGCCAGCGUCACAUCGCAGAACAGCCCCUGCUUCCGCUGCUCGUUCUGCCGACGAGACAGCUCCGAGCAAUGAGUGGUGGAGUUAAAGCCCUCGGCCUCUUCCGAGUCUCCGUCCCCGGCCAAAGAACUCGUCGUGCCGUUGCCACCGCCGGUCCGGUUUACAUCCUCCGGGUUAGGGGCGGCUGCCGCCAUGCUGGCUGCCAACGCUACGAUAGAAAUUGCGGCAGUAGGAUGCAGGAGCGCCCACAGGACGCGGACACGCGCGCCUACACACAAACACACACACACACACACACACACGAACCCAAACCCGAAAACCCUAAAUUUGGUGCAUGCGCAUAAGGCGCUGAGUGACGUCACUGCAGUGACCUAACUGGGCGUGGUGUGAGGAGAUCAGGCCUGCGCGGCAGCCACGCGCUUCUUUUUGAAAAGGUACGUGGCCCUAUGGAGAGUAGUGGUGAUGGGAUUUAUGGCUCUUUGAGGGGAUCCGGAUCUUGGCGAUCCGUUCCUUUCAAAGAGCCGUUCAAUAGAACGGCUCUUUUGGCUCUUUUAAAAUAUUUAGUCAGUUUUAAGAAGCCAGCUUGGGGGCAUCUCAGUUUAUCCUGGAAAUAAUCAAUGGGAGGAAUGAUGAGGUGAGAUUUGUAGUCAAAUAAUUAAAACUCAGAUAUCACACACCAAUAUCUGAGUUUGAAUUAUUCUGAAAUAUUGAUUAUUACCUCAUUUGUCACGUGUGGACUAUAUUCCAUAGGGUUGCACAACAUCCCUCUGCUUAGACAGUGACAUCACUAUUUUGGAUUUACCUUAAGUGUGUGUAUGCGUAAAGCUAAGUUGACUUAUGUUAUUCAUACAAUACCUACUCACAAAUAAACAUCAAAAACAAA